rnacentral:rRNA from 1 species
GACGAACGCUGGCGGCGUGCCUAAUACAUGCAAGUAGAACGCACAGUUUAUACCGUAGCUUGCUACACCAUAGACUGUGAGUUGCGAACGGGUUAGUAACGCGUAGGUAACCUGCCUGGUAGCGGGGGAUAACUAUUGGAAACGAUAGCUAAUACCGCAUAAUAUUAAUUAUUGCAUGAUAAUUGAUUGAAAGAUGCAACUGCAUCACUACCAGAUGGACCUGCGUUGUAUUAGCUAGUAGGUGAGGUAACGGCUCACCUAGGCGACGAUACAUAGCCGACCUGAGAGGGUGAUCGGCCGCACUGGGACGGAGACCCGGCCCAGAGUCACACGGGAGGCAGCAGUACGGCAUCUUCGGGAAUGGACGAAAGUCUGACCGAGAAACGCCGCGUGAGUGAAGAAGAUUUUCGGGUGGUAAAGCACUGUUGUAAGAGAAGAACGGGUGUGAGAGUGGAAAGUUCACACUGUGACGGUAACUUACAAGAAAGGGACGGCUAACUACGUG